AAAUUGAAGAGUUUGAUCAUGGCUCAGAUUGAACGCUGGCGGCAGGCCUAACACAUGCAAGUCGAACGGUAGCACAGAGAGCUUGCUCUCGGGUGACGAGUGGCGGACGGGUGAGUAAUGUCUGGGAAACUACCUGAUGGAGGGGGAUAACUACUGGAAACGGUGGCUAAUACCGCAUAACGUCGCAAGACCAAAGAGGGGGACCUUCGGGCCUCUUGCCAUCAGA
rnacentral:rRNA from 1 species